ACACUGAACUAGUUCUGGAAGUUCUUCUGUUUUUUCUGAUUAUUAAUUAAGCAUAUCCCUUACCGGGUUCACCACUAUUUUGUAAUUGACCCACGAUCUAGCUCAUCAACAUGAGGUAUAAGGUGUUAGACCUGACACCGGAUAAUCUAAAUCUCUUCCUUAGCAUGUAAUAUUAACUCUUGAGUCAUUUGAUUUGUCUCUACAUUAGUACUGUGAUACAAAUACCUAAUGUAUGUUGUUGUUGUUCCUGCUGCAUUUCCGGUUAAAACUUUACAUAUGUGUAUUUCAGAAAGUUCUGACCAGUCUGAUGCAAAUAGGAAGAAAUAUGCCCACUAACUUUUUCCUGAUCAAGGUUGGAUACACAACUUCAUUCGCAUGUUUUACAUUAUUAGCUUUGUGCUGCUAAAAAAUAACACUUGAAAGUGUUUGGGUCAAAUUCAUGUUUUGCUUUGUCUAUCCACAUUAUCAUUCAUGCAGAAUAUCUGCUUUUGUUUGCUGAAAUCAGUGUGAGUAACAGCAUGAAUUACACAUUAUUGCUUUUGCAGGAGUAUUUCCGCAUUCCUCUAUCUCAUCUGAGAUCAGUGCUCAGUGCAGCAGACAGCAUAAUCGUGAGGGAGAUUCUGCUGUACUAUAACAGGAACACAGCCACUUUGCAGGUAGACCAUCUCAUCAUUGCAUCAUUAUAUAUUAAAAACAAUCAAGAAACAAACAAUCAAGAUAAAUGAAUUUAUGUAAUUUACAGUUUUUCUUUUCUUUUUUGAAGCUAACAGAUGAUUACCUGCACACCAUGGUGUCUGUGCUUUUCCAAAUACACCUGCCCAAGGAUAUUAGCCUGUUUUCUGACAUGGGUAUUUUGUUGGCUCUAGCUACACCUUCAGACAUCUUGUCAAUGCCGCUACAAAAUAAUAUCAAUGCGUUAAGCAUAAUUAACUUCAGCAUAAAAAACCUUUCCCUGGAGCAGCAGCAAGCGUUUGGUCGGUGGUUCAGUCAGUCCAUGAGCUUACCUAACAUGACAGCCGGCAGCUUAUCCGUUAUCAGAGACACUGGUAACCUGAUCGCCUAUCUGCCCUUUCAGAGCUUCCAGUACUUCUCACCUGCUCAGCUGCUGGAUGGUUUGGAUGUUCUGAUGAGUAACGCGUUGACUCCACUUAAGCAGCAGUUCAUUGCUCAGAGUCUCACUGGAACCUUCCGGAAUCUCACUGUUGACGAGUUCAGGAGGUUAGUUAAUGCAAUGUUAUUUUACUCCAUUAAGAUGAAAUCAAUACAGUUUCUGGAAUUAUUUUAA
rnacentral:lncRNA from 12 species